rnacentral:lncRNA from 1 species
UUCUCCCUCAAACCAAAGAUUUCUCUCAAAUAUCUCCUCCCACCGAUUUUCACUCUUCAAAUCACCCGUUUAGGAAUCAAGUUCCUCUCCUCUUCCUUCUUCAUUUGGGGUGGUUCGAGCUUGCCCUAGACUCUAUCCAUCUUCUCCAAAUCGGUACAUCACCUCUCCAAAAUCUUUGCCUCUCUCCCUCACAUUUAGUCUUCAAAGCUCUGUGCAAGUCCUUCUUGUGCAAAUGGCUCCCAAAAUGAAGCUUCCACAGAGGAGAACAUUUGUUCGCGGGUUGGAAGAGAGUGUGCGCAGAAAGAGAUUAGCAGUCGAGCCCUCUCCUACUCCAAUCCCUGCUCCAGGUCCUGCUUCAGCUUCCACUCAGUCUUCAAUCAGCC